AUUGAACGCUGGCGGCAGGCCUAACACAUGCAAGUCGAACGAGUGGCGGACGGGUGAGUAAUGUCUGGGAAACUGCCCGAUGGAGGGGGAUAACUACUGGAAACGGUAGCUAAUACCGCAUACCAUCGGAUGUGCCCAGAUGGGAUUAGCGAGUAGGUGGGGUAACGGCUCACCUAGGCGACGAUCCCUAGCUGGUCUGAGAGGAUGACCGUCCACACUGGAACGGAGACCCGGUCCAGCCGCCUACGGGAGGCAGCAGUGCGGAAUAUUCCACAAUGGGCGCAAGCCUGAUGCAGCCAUGCCGCGUGUAUGAAGAAGGCCUUCGGGUUGUACAGUACUUUCAGCGAGGAGGCGUUACUCGCCCAAGACGCACCGGCUCACUCCGUGCCAGCCGCCGCGGUAAUAC
rnacentral:rRNA from 1 species